rnacentral:rRNA from 1 species
AUUGAACGCUAGCGGGAUGCUUAACACAUGCAAGUCGAACGAGUGGCGGACGGGUGAGUAAUAUAUCGGAACGUGCCCAAUAGCGGGGGAUAACUACUGGAAACAGUGGCUAAUACCGCAUACCAUCGGAUCUGCCGAUAUGGGAUUAGCUAGUUGGUGGGGUAAAGGCUCACCAAGGCAACGAUCCGUAGCUGGUUUGAGAGGAGGACCAGCCACACUGGAACUGAGACACGGCCCAGACUCCGACGGGAGGCAGCAGUGGGGAAUUUUGGACAAUGGGGGAAAGCCGGAUCCAGCCAUGCCGCGUGUAUGAGAAGGCCUUCGGGUUGUAAAGUACUUUUGGCAGAGAAGCGGUAUCUGCAGAAUAAGCACCGGCUAACUACGUGCCAGCAGCCGCGGUAAUAC